rnacentral:rRNA from 1 species
UACGUAGGGGGCAAGCGUUGUCCGGAAUCAUUGGGCGUAAAGAGCGCGUAGGCGGCCCUGUAAGUCCGCUGUGAAAGUCAAGGGCUCAACCCUUGGAUGCCGGUGGAUACUGCAGGGCUAGAGUCCGGAAGAGGCGAGUGGAAUUCCUGGUGUAGCGGUGAAAUGCGCAGAUAUCAGGAGGAGCACCAGCGGCGAAGGCGGCGCUCUGGGCCGGUACUGACGCUGAGGAGCGAAAGCGUGGGGAUCAAACAGG